AGGCAGUCUGAGUGUCCUUCAUUUUUUAUGUCCAAUGUCUGGAACAAAAGCAGCCUCAUGGUUUGUCAUGUCAGGGGAAGAAAGGGACCAACUGCAAACAGGCAACUACAUCGCUUCAGCCUCGAGCCAACAUCAAAAGGAGAGAAAUAUUUUGCUGUUCCACACAAACGAGUUGUUUCAUGGAGGAGCUGUGAUGCAUAUUUGGAGCUGGGAAGUGGAUAUCCCACCAGACACAUCUUUUCUUCUUGUUUCUUAAAACCUCCUAGUUAAAUUUCUUGGCCAUUUCAGGAAGAAAUCACAUAAAUUAUCAUUUUUUAAAUUUUAGCAUUCAUAAAUUCAAAUUUUUCUUAUUUUAUCGCAUUGGAUAGAAAGUCCAUUCUUUUUAUUCAUUGGAAGUUCCUGUCACCCUACAUGCUGAAAAUAUUUAUAUAGUUAGGAAUUCUCUGGAACUACAAUACUACUGGCUCACAUUUACAUAGCUUCUUUCAGUUCUCAAAAAUCCAUUAACAUGUCUUACCUCAUUUUUUUCUAACAAGUCUGUGAUACAGGAAGGUUUUAUUUUUUCCUCAUUUAAAAUUUGGAAAAAAUAGAUUUUAAAUAAUUCCUACAAGGUACUGAAGCUAGUAAUUAAACAAACAGAACAGACUAUAAUUCAGAUUUUCAGUUUCUAGGCCAGAGUCUAAUACAGCAGAUCAGCUAGCUUCCUCCUAUUAUAAAAAUCUUUUGGAAAAUACUCACAUUUUGGGUAUACUAAAAUAUUUCUCAUAGACAAUUGCCUUAUAUGAGAUGUUAUUAGGAAACUAUUACUCGUUAAAUAUCAUGCACAUCUGUUUCAUUGGACAGUAUGUAAAAUAACUAAAUUACUGCAAGUUGACAUCAAUUCAGAAAUUACAAUUACAGACCAAAGACUGAGGUACUGGGAUAUAAGAAUGUGCAAGACACAAGCAAUGCAUUAGUGAGAAUAGGUUAGAUUUUGCUGCUUUUAAGACCCCACAUUCUUGUGGCUUAAAAUUUUACCUCUCUAUAAAACAGCAUGACCCAUUUUGGUGAACGGGGGUGUGUUGUGUUCAUUAUAGUAACUUAGAAAUCUCUGUGUGUGUGCGCGCGCGCGUGUGUGUGUGUGUGUGUGUGUAUUUCAACGUACAUUUUAGAUACAGGGGUAGAUGUGCAAGUUUGUUACAUGAGAAUAUUGUGUGAUGCUGGGGUUUGGAGUUCAGAUCCUGUCUCCCUGGUAGUGAGCACAAUUAACAUUUUUACUUGUUUUUUCAACAAUCUGUGUGGCAGAGGAAAGGAAUAUAACAUAUUAACCUCUGGUUCUUAAAGUCUCAGGAUAUAAAUAGCACAGAUCUCAAUGCUAUACCUAAUUUGAAAAGGGGUAGAGAAGUGCAAUUCUACCAUGUGCUUGGGAGGAGGGGGCCAGAAUAUUUAUAAAGAGCCCUAAUGAUUCUCAAAAUCUUUGUCCUCAGCUAUAUAUAAUAUGUUGAAGAAGCUAGAAAAAGUAAAUAUAUAAUUGUAGUAAUUACAAUAUAAUAUGAUAUAUUGAACAAAAUAAAUGUGGGGACAAAGCAUUUUGGAGGAACAGAAUGCAAUAACUAAGUGUGCUUGGAGAAGAUAGAAAAUACUUUUUUAGGAGAAAAUGCCAUGUGAAUUGACCUAUAAAGAUAAAUUUACUGGAUAGAAAAAACAGGAGAGUGGUGCUGUUACUUUCAAUGGCAAAAACCACAGUUACUUUUGCACCAACCUAGCUUAUAAACCUUGUAUUAAGUUCCUUAGAGAAAUAGUCACUUAAACAGGCAUAAAGGUGGGGAGUUUCAGUGGGCUAAUCACAUUAAGUUACAUGACUUUAGAUAAAUUAUUUUACCUCUCUAUACUUCAAGUUUCAUGACAAUUUAAGGGAAUUGGAUUAAGAUUCUCUUAAGCUCUAAUAGUCUAUAUUUGAAUUAUUUAUUUUGGAAACUUAUUGGUAAUUUGCAGUUCUAAUACUUUGUCAAGCAUUCCAUGUCAAAGAAGAGCAGAUGGCAGGGAUGGCAAAUGGUUUUUCACUUUGCAUACCAACUCUGAUUUUUUAGAAGGGCCUCUCUAGAGCAAUCUGCUGAGUGAGAGACAGUCUGAGAAAGAAUUAUUAUGAAAUUUGCAUUUUAGAUUGAAAUAUAUAGGUAAAAUAAGAUCCCAGUAUAAAAAUUUUUUGCAUCUGUCCAGUGGAAAAUUCCUUUUCAGAAGUAAGCUACCAUGCAAAUGUAUUUUUCUGAAACAUUUUUUCACCUUAAUGUUUAUAACCAUCUACUCUUACCAAGUCCUUAGAAAUUCAAGACUUGUGUUGUUGAUUACAACUAAAUCAACUGUGGAGGGAAAUAAGUGAAAAAAAAAACUGGGAUGAGACGUGAAAUAGGUGGCUAAAAAUAGUAUAUAACAGUGGAAUAUUGGAAUAUCUAGUUUUAAUUGCCUCAGCCUAAUACUAAUUAUUUCAAUCUAGUUUGUGACAGAAAUCUAAUAAAGGAUACAGAAUAUUUUAAUUAACCUAUCAGAGUAAAAACUUGCUUAAAUUAUUCUUCAAGUAUUGGUUAUAAAUAGAUAAUGUUUAGUUAUGUUGACAUAGGUGAGAUAGCUAUAUCUAGAAAUGAUUGAACAUAAUUAAUAAUUAUAUGCCAUAAUUAUAUCCAACUUGAUUUUACAUUUUUCAAGACUUUGCAUUCUCUUCUGCUCUUUAUACUUAACAUAAUCACCAUACCUGAUUCCUACACAGCUUAGGAAAAUUAAUCAGCAUACUCUCUAUCAUUAUAUGAAAGUAAAAUGCAUUUGGAUGUUUGUUAUUGUUUUAUUUUCUUAUUGUUUACCUGGAUUCUUUGUUUGUUCUGCCAUUUUAUGGUAUCUACCAAUACCUCCAUAACCACUUGUAUUUAAGGAUAACCCUUCUUGACACCAAUGUAUUUAGAUUUAUGCAGUAAAUCACUGUGAUAUAUCAUUUAUACAUAUUACUUCUCCAAUUCUCCUAACAAUUUUUUUGCUGUUAAUCUGUGAGGAAUAAAAAGGAUUUUUAUUAUUAUUAUUAUUGUUCUUGUAAAAAUGAGAAAACUAAAGCUUAGAUAAAUUAAAUAAAUAAUUUAGUGUUAUCCAGUUUAUGUGAUUUUGGAUUUAAAACAAGGUUUACCAACUUAUAUGACAUUCAUUCUUAAUAUAGGAGAAAGUUAUUGCAAGUACACUCAUAGAGAAAAAUAUGGUAGACAGAGUAAAUCAGUGUAAAAAUGAAGAAACUUUAAAUGGCUAUUGGAGAUGUUUGCCAUUAAAUUAGGAUGUCUAAACUAUUCCCAACUGCCUCACAAGAAAUCUACUCAUUUUUAGUACUUUUAAACUAUUGCUAUGGACCAGCAUGAUUCAAUAUAAUAGCCACCAGCCACAGGUAGCUAUUUAAAUAUAAAUGUAAGAAUUGACAUAAAAUAAACUUAAAAAUUUAUAUCUCAGUUGCACUAACUACAUUUCAAAUGCUCACGUGCUCAGUAGCUAUAUGUGGCUGGUGCUUGUCACAUUGGACAGCACAGAUAUGUCCAUUAUUACAAAGGUUCUUAGCAUUUAUCUAGAGAAAUAUGUGAGUGAAUACUUAUUGGUCAUCACAUAUAUAACUUUAUGAUGUUUCAUAAGAUACAUCUACAUUUUCUACUUCUCACAUAUGAGAUUAUGGUUGAUUGGUGUACACUAGUCAUGGGUUCUAAUAUUACACAGAGUAGGGUACAAUAUAGGCCUUUAAUAGACAUUUGUUGUCACAUAAUCAAUUAAGACUCCAUAAAGUAGUUGACAGCUUUUUUAUUUUUAAUUCAUGGGACCUGGAUUUAAAUCCAAGCUAUUGCACUUAGUAUCACACAGCCUUUAACGGUUAUGCAUGUGUGUGUGUGUGUGUGUCUGUGUGUGUUUAAAAGUGCUUGAGAGAGUGGCCAAUAAUGCUUAGAAAACAAAACAUAAAAGCCAGUAAUUUUGGAUCAAGGGUACAAUGAUAACCCUUUUUUACAUUAUAUAACUCAUAACCUCAUAACUCUCAAUAACUUAAUGAAGGUUACUUGAAACACGAAUUCAAAGUUCUUCAAGUUAAAUACAUAGAAAUUCUAAGUUAAGGAAGCUAAUUCUUUACCAAUAUAUUUACUAAUUUCUCUGCUAACAAAUUUUUUAAAUUCAACUCCUUUCUUGUGGGUUUAAUAUUUUUCUUCCUUAAGAAAUCAGUUAAUGGAUCUUUUUAAUGUCAAAGAUAAAUUCACUCUCUCAAUCUUUUCUAGUCUUAAAAUGGCCUUAAGUAUUACAUUAUUGACUAAUACCUUAUUGUAACAAUCUCAGUUGACCAUUAUUUUCCUCCAGUACUUUGGAUAUAUCAAUCAAUAGUCUUGUACCAUAUAUUAUUGCUUAAGAGAAGCCUAUUAUCAAAUCUAUUUCCUUAUUAUUAGUACUGUGAAUUAGUCUUAAUAGUUAAAAUGUUCUAUUUUUUGACAUUACACAUUUUUACUAUGAGGCAUCUGGUGUGAAUUUGUUUUUUUUCUUCUCGGAAUUCAAUGUAAUUCUUUUAUAUUAGGAAUUAUGUCUUGUUCAAUUUUGAGAAUUCUUAGGCAUUCUAUAUUCAAAUAUAUAGGGACUUUUCAUUAUAUCUUUGGUGCCUCAUAAUUUUAUUCACAUUUUCUAUUUUUUUAUUUCUCUGAAUUACAUUCUGAUCCAUUUCUUCAGUUUUAACAUUUGUUUCAGUUAAUACUUCUAGAUCUAUAUACGGUUCAUCCUUUAAAUGACUAAUUUAGGCUAUUAUUUUUUUCAAAAACUAUUCAUCUUAAAGUUCCACUUGAUUACUGCUCAUAUUUCCUGACUGUUUUUCAUUCUAUUCUUGCUUGUUUCUAUUUUUUCUUUAGCUAUUUGAGCACUUUCAACUAUCUUUUACAGUUUAUUAGUUUUACUUAUAUUGUAAAUUCCCCUCUUUAUACAAUUGACUGAUUCUCUCUCAUUGUGGGUUGUUGCACAGUAUAUUUGUAACUUUUUACUGUGGUCUCAUCUUCAGAAGAUUUUCUUCUAUUGUUAUGUGUUUGUGCAUGCAUGUGUAUACACUUUCUACCCAGGAUUACUGAAGGAGAGUUUUUGAUUUGCCUCAGUUCAGGGCCCAAAGUCUUCAUUAGUUCUUGAUCACUGUUUAUGUUGACUUUUUAUCUAGUGACUAUGUAUAGAAUGAUCUAAAAAUUUAUUAACCAAGCAGUACACUUCUGAAAGUAAACAUGGCUUUAUAGCAGACAUAAACCAAGAUUGGCUUACAUCAGCUAGGACAUAUAAUUUUAUUCAUGCACCAUGAAAACAAUGGGAGUAUGAAUAUUAUAACCAUUUGUGAAACAUGCAUAGUAUAGUGAUUUUUGUUCCCUUAGGUGAUAAACGCUGGGACAAUGGAAAGUUCCCAUGAAGGUAUCUUCAGCCACUGAGAAGUUUUCAAAUCCAGUUACAUGGACUAGACAAGUUCUAGUCCAUUGACAAGUAUCUUUUGGUUUCAUGCAGGUAGUUCAUUUCCUGUUACCAGGAUUUGUUAUACAUUCUGAGAUUUACAUCCCUAGCUUCAGUUCUUAAAAGGCUUACGUCUAUCUCUUAUCAGCAAAUGAAUGAUUCUGCUUCACAUUCAACUCAUGUCUCUGCCCCUGGUUAUUGUCCUUAUUUGGAAUUUGUAGUUAUAUGAAACAUAAAGUUCCAUUUAAAAUUUUUAAAACUAAUUGUUAUUCAUCAUUAUUAUAUAUUUGCUUGGAAUAGAAGUAGGCCUGUUUUGUAUCAACUUAGUUCAUUAUAUUUGUAGUAUCAUUUUAGGUAGAUUUUUAAAUCUAAAAAUAUAACAAAAAUAUAAAUAAAUGUCUAAAAAUCUAAAUAUCUAAAAUAUCUAAAAAUCUAAAUAUAACAACUAUAGAUAAGUAUUCUAUUUUUAAUACACAUUUAUUUCUAUUUGUGUUCUCGUCAAAUAAUUCCAAUAAUUUUUUGUAAUGUAUUAACUAGUUCUCCAUCUCUGUCAUCUACAUUCUUCCCCUUUCUUGAUUUAUGCUUUUCCUCAAUAUGGUGCCAUUUCAGAUAUAAACCAAUAAUGGCAGAUUCUUUACAUAAAUAGAGGUCUAUGAUAUUGCUAAACAUCUGAAAGAGAGGAUGACCCAUAUCAGAAGUUAGCACACUAAUGCCUGUGCACUAAAUCCAGUUCGUUUAUUGAUUUUGUGUACCCUGUGAUCUAAGAAUUAUUUUUACCUUUUUAAAUAAUUUAAAAAAUCAAAAGAAUAAUUUUUUGACCCAUUAAUAAAAUAUGAAAUUCAAAUUUUGUUGUUUAUUUUAAAGUUGAAUUAAGCUAAGCCACACACAUUCAUUUAUGUAUUGUCGGGGUUUUGUGGUUGUUGCUGUUUUUUAAUAGAGACAGGGUCUCACUAUUUUACCCAGGCUGGUCUUGAACUCCUGAGCUCAAGCAAUUCUCCCACCUCAUUCCCCCAAAGUGUUGGGAUUAUAGGUGUGGGCCACCGCACCCAGCCAAUUUAUGUAUUGUCUAUUGCUGCUUUCACAUUACAAUGGCAGAGCUGAGUAUUUGUAACAAACAUCAGAUCCAUACGUUUAAAAUAAUGUCUUUACUUCACAAAAAUCUUGCUGAACCCCUGGCCUCUAUAAUUAAAUAAACAAGGUAAUGACAUAUUCAUUUUAAUCAUUUCAGAAUUUCUGUGAUUAACAUCAGUGGGUAGAUUUUAAAGGAAUUAGUAAGAUAAAUCUAAGUUUAUAUAACAUUUUGCUUUAGAGAUUGGCAGAAGGUAGGUGGUAUCAGAGUGAUGUUAUGUAAUUUAUCAGAACACAAAUAUUGGUACUCGCAAAAGGAAAAAUAAAAACAGGAAAUUGCACAUAAUGAAAGAAAAGUAAUGGUAGAAAUGUUAUAUUGUACUUGAAAGUUCAGGUUUAUUACAGAAGAAGUUUUCUAAUAAGAAUCAGCCUGUUAGAGCACAGAUAUAUAUAACAACAACAAAAAAGACUGACAUUGUGAAAAAAAAAUUCACCAUGUAAAAUCCUGAUACUUUGAAUCUUGUGACUUCAUAAAGUGCACACAGAUGAACAAAUUUGAAUGUAUCAAAUACAGUUCAACAAUAAUAGUUAUAACUAUCUUACUAAGAGAUGUAAGCACCAUAUGCUCAUCUAUGGAAAAGCUAACAGCAAUAAAAAAUAAAGAGAAAAUGGAUAUUAGCAAAGGCAACUAAAAGUUUUCUCUCCUAAGAGACAGAUGAGUUUCUAUUACAUAUCAAGGUUACUUUUGUAUCAGAAAAUAACUAAUUGAAACAACAACAACAAAAAUAAGUAUGAUAUAUAACUAAUAAAUAUUGUACAUAAUUAAUAUGCAUACUUCUAUAUCAUCAUUUAAUAGGAUACAAUUUAUGAGCACUAACACAUUUCAAAUAAUGAAUUUAAAAUUGCUAAGGUAGUUUUUAAAACCAUCUUUUAUUUAAAAAUCUGAAGAACAAAGCAAAGUGAAAACAUAUUCUUAUUUUAUGUGCUCUUGAAUUUACAAAGAUAUUUUUUAAAACAUUUAUUUAUCUAUGUUUAAAUUCCUGAGGAAAUGUACUUAUUGGCAGGUCCAUGGAAUCUGAGAAGAAAACUACCUUCCUUGACAAAUGUAUACUAUCAAUUGGAUCACUUGAGGUCAUCUCUGUAUCUGGAAUGGUAAGUCUGGGUAGGCAAAGUGCCUUUAAGUGAAUUCUACACUCAGAUAUGGGUAAAAUGAUCUAAAGAUUCCUAAGUCAGUUUGAAAAUAGAGGUUGGGAUGGAGGGAUUUCUGACUCCUUGUAGGAUCUGGGGCUCCCUGAUGCCAGAAGUAUCUCUCUGGUUUUGUGAAUUCUGGCUUCUAAAGAGAUAGCAUCUAAGUUCCCACUGCAACCUAGCUUCUCCCUUUAUCUUAGGUGUCAUACAAGAAGGGUCUUGGCGGUGGUCUGACCUGCCAUGGACUGUCCAUCUGCCCGGACUACAGCGAGACAAUUUUUCCAAGCUUCCAAGGAGCCAAGCUGAAGAAAGAGUGAAACAAUGGAGGCGCCUUUCUUUCUUGAUCUUGGGAGAAGGUAUUAAACUAGAACUCAGAAGAUCUGGGCUGCUACUUUCUAGUUCGUCACCUCAUGCAGGAUAUGUAGCUUUUGCAAAUCUUGACUUUCCAAAUUUCAAAUGAAGCUCGUGAUUUGUGUCUUGAGUACAUAGGGACUUGCUAUGAGCAUUAACAGAGAUUACGAAUGCAAAGCACUUUGCUUAUCAUUAAUUUUUUUUUCUUUUUUUUUUUUUUUUUUUGAGACUGAGUCUCUCUCUGUUGCCCAGGCUGGAGUGCAGUGGCACCAUCUCGGCUCACUGCAACCUUCGCUUCCCAGAUUCAAGCGAUUCUCCUGCCUCAGCCUUGCAAGUAGCUGGGACUACAGGUGCACACUACCACGCCCAGCUAAUUUUUGUAUUUUUAGUAGAGACAUUGGCUAGGAUGGUUUUGAUCUCUUGACCUCGUGAUGCACCUACCUAGGCCUCCCACAGGCGGGAGCCACCAAGCAGGCUGCUUAGCAUUAAUGUUUUUAACAAAAUAAUGAGUAGAGCUACAUGGCAGAUUCAAUUCUGAUUCUGUGUUAUAUGCUUGAUCUGUAGCUAUGCCUCAGCAGCUUUGCACAGCAUAGGGGCACAGAUGCUUUCUUCUUAUUGUGACUUACAUGGAUUCAAAUUGUAGGUGACAGAAAAAUGUUGGUAUUACAUGUCAAACACAAAGGCAAAUAGAAUAAAAAGGUUAUAAUCAAGCUGUAAGCUGCACGCUCUAUUCAGUCUUCUUUCUCUCUGAAAUAUGUCAACUACUAUUUCCUGAGAUAUGAGGCACUUGAUGAUUGAGAUGAUUAAAAAAUACAUCCACCCGAAGUAAGCAUCAAUUACACAAAUUUACUAAUAAGAAACAAUCAAAUAUGCCUCCACAUGAAUGCACACAACACACACACACAUAAACAGAUUGUUAUGAAUUAUUCUCCAGAUUUCUACUUGUCACUAUUUUAUUAGGUAUACAAAGAAUAUUUUAUAUAUCACUUUGCUCUGGGAUUGAGAAACUUUUGCUUUAAGGUUUUAUUUUAUUUUAUGGUUAGAAAAGAAGGGUCAUUGAACUAUUAUAAACCAGUGAUGUUUCUAGAGUUUUCCUCCAAUUUCAUCAAAGAAGGAGAAACAGAUAUAGUGACCUAACACGUAGUUUUUAGAAACUGUUGUUACAGAGUUAAGAGCUGAAACUUUCACAAGUUUUUAAAACCAACAAACAAGCACAAGAAAAUAUAAUAUUUUCUAUACAAGGUAUUCUGAUGAUAUAAUAGUUUUAUAUUCAUUCAUCUUAUUAAUCAAAGAUGGAAGUAAACAAAAGAGGUCAUAGAUGUUUUUGCUAAUAAAAAAGAGAGGGAGUUCCUUACUUUCAUUAUUUAAUGUUAAUAAUAAUCAUAAUUGGAAAAAAAAAAACCCAUAGAUUCGAAGUUAAGUGGCUUGCCCAAGGUCAGGUUUACCAAAAUAUCAUUUAUUCUAUAUUCAAAGGUCUUUCACUCAAAAGACUCAUUACCUG
rnacentral:tRNA from 10 species